GUUAAUGGAAUUCAUAGAAACCGGUCGGUGAAAACGCGAGCCGCGCGGAUCGUGAGAUUGUAUUUACUGUCGCUUCAAUGAUCCACGGAGAGACGACCGUCGAGCGCAGCGGAUAAGGAGCUUCGAGAGACGAUAAAAGAAUCGAACGUUAUCGCACGAAUUAGUAACGGCUAUUGUACCUGAGAUGCUAUUGCAGGAACCAGUGGCAGGACCGUGAAUCGCGUUAAACAUCGUGUAAAAGCUUGACAGCGAAAACGAUAACGGAGAAUGACGAAAACGACGAAGAGAGGAUCGAGAAUUUCAGCGGAUUAACAUUCCAGCAGCGUUCCUAACCACUUCGAAAUUCACCGUGACAACGCGAACGAUAAGAAGAAUCUAUAAGAAGAAUCAGGCGAAGCUUUUUAAUGGUUUUUGAUCAGCUCGAAGUCUACCUUGUCACCAAACACGAUAAGACAUACAACAAUGUUAACAAUGGUAA